GCGAGGGUGGCGGAACCUGGCAGACGCACCAGAUUUAGGAUCUGGUGGGCGAAAGCCCGUGGGGGUUCAAAUCCCCUCCCUCGCA
rnacentral:tRNA from 1 species